rnacentral:lncRNA from 1 species
GUGCGUGCCUGUAGUCCCAGCUAACCCGGAGGCUGAGCACUUCACUUCACCAGUUGAAGACCACCUUAUCUGAACUGUGAAAUGGAGAGGAAGUGACUGAAAAAUCGUGUGAGACAAAUCACAAAAAAACAGCAGGCAAUUACAAGAGACAUCUAGGAACAGCUAUGUCCUUAACUUCAAACCAUCUGCUGAACAUGUAGAUACCCUUGGAAACUGCAAGUGUAAGAAUGAAGUGUUCUAAACCUUGGAGUGGAAGCCUUCAGCUGGGAGUCAUUCCAAUGGUCUACAGAGAGAUGGUCAACAUCAGAACCAGAGUAAUAGCAGUGAAGAUGUAAAGGAGAAUAUGAAUGAAAAAAUGUGCACCAGAUUGAAAUCUUAUGACUUCAAAAAUUCUCUUCUAUUGGAAAAAUGGAGAGGAAGAGGAAAGGGUCUAUGAUGACACACAAGUUUCUGACUUGGCAACCU